CCUACGGGGGGCAGCAGUGGGGGAUAUUGCACAAUGGGGGGAACCCUGAUGCAGCGACGCCGCGUGGGUGAAGAAGCGCCCCGGCGCGUAAAGCCCUGUCAGCCGGGAAGAAAAUGACGGUACCUGAAGAAGAAGCCCCGGCUAACUACGGGCCAGCAGCCGCGGGAAUACGGAGGGGGCAAGCGUUAUCCGGAUUUUCCGGGUGUAAAGGGGGCGCAGACGGCGAUGCAAGCCAGGGGGGAAAGCCCGGGGCCCAACCCCGGGACUGCUCUUGAAACUGCGUGGCUGGAGAUCAGGAGGGGCAGGCGGAAUGCCUGGUGUAGCGGUGAAAUGCGUAGAUAUCAGGAGGAACACCGGUGGCGAAGGCGGCCUGCUGGACGGCAACUGACGUUGAGGCCCGAAAGCGUGGGGAGCAAACAGGAUUAGAUACCCGGGUAGUC
rnacentral:rRNA from 1 species